AAACUUAAAGGAAUUGACGGAAAGGCAGCACCAGGCGUGGAGCUUGCGGCUCAAUUUGACUCAACACGAGAAAUCUCACCAGACCCGAACAUCUCUAACGAUUGACAGAUUGAAAGCUCUUUCUUAAUGAAGUGGAUGGUGGUGCAUGGCCGUUCUUAGUUGGUGGAGUGAUCUGUCUGGUUAAUUCCGAUAACGAGCGAGACUCUCCCCUGCUAACGGACCUUAGUGUUUUUCUAGACGGUGUGAUUCGGAGCAAGAGUCCAUGGGCGUAAGCCCCGGUCUCGGACGAUGUCCCCUGAUCCUUGGUGCGUUGGUGUUCCGCGUGCCAUCGGAGAGUCGAGUGUUCGCAUUUUUCGCCUCUGUGGAUUUCUCGGUUCAUUGACAAAGAGCCUCGGAGUACGUUUCUUCUUAGAGGGAUUGACGACUUAUAAGUCGUAAGAAACAGGGAGCAAUAACAGGUCUGUGAUGCCCUUAG
rnacentral:rRNA from 1 species